AUGGGCCUACGGGGGGCAGCAGUAGGGAAUCUUCCACAAUGGGCGAAAGCCUGAUGGAGCAACGCCGCGUGGGUGAAGAAGGACUUCGGAUCGUAAAACCCUGUUGUUAGAGAAGAAAGUGCGUGAGAGUAACUGUUCACGUUUCGACGGUAUCUAACCAGAAAGCCACGGCUAACUACGUGCCAGCAGCCGCGGUAAUACGUAGGUGGCAAGCGUUGUCCGGAUUUAUUGGGCGUAAAGGGAACGCAGGCGGUCUUUUAAGUCUGAUGUGAAAGCCUUCGGCUUAACCG
rnacentral:rRNA from 1 species